UUGCACGAUCGAGCUGUACAUUUGAGAAAUUGUGGUCUGCUCGAGAAAGACCAAUCUACUAUGGAUGAGUUCAGGAAGUACGUAAUCUGGGAUUCGGUGCCCAUUCCCCCGAGGAAGAGGAGCACGACUAUGUUGCUCGAGCUAUAUAUAUUCGCAAUACAAUAACCUGGGAAGCCGCUAAAACCCCCGAAGGGACUCCCCAAGUUAAAGUCAAUCAUUUUUACGGAUAGUCACCUACCGUCCUUAGUGCAGAACCAACUUGUCUCGUCAAGUUUAAGGAUAACCAAAAUAACUUUUAUGUUUGGAAUUGUGUUGAUCUUAUCGCUCAUAGAUUUGACAAUGUGGACCUCGAGAUGGAUUUUAAAGAAGCACUUAACAUUUUCACUCUUCCAGUGAAAAAGGGAAGGAAGCAAGUUGCUGCAAAUGCAGAAUGUUCCUUGAAACAGCCCAAGGCUCUAAGAAAAAUGAAAAGCAAGGAUAAAGAAAAAUCUCUGACUCUUCCAACUUCUUUUAUUGUCAAGAUAUUUCGUGAAUAAGAUUCAAGGUACUAGAAUGUAUAAAGUCUGUUCUAAACUUUGCACAGUUACAUUUGUUUUAAGGAUUCUUAAUAAGGAAAGUUUCGAGGAUGUUGGAGUACAAGAGAAAAAGGCUUUAAUUGCUUUGUAUGAAGCUCAAGGGGCUGCUAACAAGAACCCCACAAACUUAGACUUAAUUGAUGCUGAAAUUCAGACAAGAAGAAAUUAUUUGAGGGUGCACAAGACUUAUCUAUCAUUCCUUAAUCCUUAGACAAAAAAAAAAAAAAAAAAAACUAAGAAUGAUUGGAUAAAGGAUGGUGAUUCUAAUUCUAAGCUAUUCCACAUUAGCUUAAGAACUAGAAGAAACCAAAAUGUAGUGCCAUUAUUACUAAUGCAUAAGGAAUUUGGGUGGAUAAUCUAGUUGAGGUAAAGGAUGCUUUUAUUUCUUAUUUUUACAACAACUCUGGGAUCCAAAAUGGAAAAUAGAAGGCAUGUGUUGAGAAAAAUAGUUAAAAAUGAUCCUUGUAUUACUGAAAAAAUUCAGCAUAUACUAAAGAGGAGGUUAAAGAGGCAUUAUUUUCUAUUUCUGAAUCUAAAGCCCCAGGCCCUGAUGGUUUCAAAAAUUAUUUAUUUAUGCAUCCUUGGGACAUUAUUGGAGAGGAUUUCACCAAAUCUAUCAUUUUGGUGCUUAAUUCAGGGAAGCUUCUUAAGAAAAUUAAUGCAACCACACUCACUCUCAUUCCUAAGAGCAAGUGUCCAAGUCAAGUUAGUGACUACAGUUGAUUGCGCGUAGCAAUGUUGUGUAUAAAACAAUGACAAUUGUGAUUUGUGGGAGAUUGAAGAAUAUCCUUACAACUAUUAUUGCUCAAAAUCAUAAGGGAUUUGUGCAUGGUAGAUACUUCGCCCAUAAUAUUAUGGGUUGUCAAGAUCGAUUUUAUAAAUGAGUAUCUACAUAAUUAAGAUGUAGAUCUUCCAGAUCGAUUUUAUUGUACCGUCCAGAUCGAUUCUAAGUCGAAUUGAUGAAAGCCUGGUCCUUUAGUGACUAUCGUCCGAAUAGGUCCCCAUAGCUCAUGGCAUGCCGAAUAGACAUGUAGGUCAAGCAGUGCCAUUUGCCGACCAGAAUUACACGCUAAGCGAAGAUAUUCUAAGAUAUUUUUUUAACUGCUUCCCCAAUUAUAACUCAACUAAAUCCCUAUUUUUGUUGGAUUUGAUUAUGUAGUAGAGAAAUGCAUUGGAUUUUAUAUUUGAAUUCCCAUGCCACUUUAUUUCUUUUAUAUCGAGAUUCACAUUUAUCGUUA